UAGUCACUAGUAAAGAUUCAGGUAUUCAUUUCAAAUCAGCAUUCUGGUUUGAAUAACUUUGAACGUAAAGGUCUUUACGUCAGUUUUUCAUGCAAAAGUACGUGUGGGUCUCAAAGAGUUAAUUUGUCUCUGUCUGUUGAUCGCUGCGGUGGGCUGCGACAUCAUUCGAGAGUGCAUUUUCAGCGUCCAAUCAGCUACGCGGAAUCCACUUCGCAUUUAGCCAAUAGGGAGAAUGGGAGGCUCUAUCGAAUUUGAAUGAGGAGUGUAUCUUUCGGCGCCAUUUUCGAGUGAGCAGCGAUUGCCUCAACAGCUGCGGGGAGAGGAUGCUGCGAAUGUAGAAAGCUGUCGCUGAGACUGAGGAGAAACCAAGCGGUUAAAAUCAAACUGCGAUUAUAGAGAGGGAAUCGCCUUAUUUCAGCAGAAACACAGAGGUACUGUUGGACGUUGGCAUGUUUAGAAGGAUAUCAGCAGUUGCAGUGCUGAUGAAGAGCGUCCUGGCCUGUCUUCAAAGUGGAUGGAAGAGUUAAAUAUGUCCCUGGUAAUCGUCUGAAAGUCUUUAGGUCGAUGGGUAAUACACUAUAUUGCCAAAAGUAUUCACUGCGCCAUCCAGUAAUUUAAAUCAGG